GGCCGCUGGAACCGGAGCGUCCUCGCCGCGACCCCCUUCGGCCCGGCGCCGUCUUGCGUAACCGCGGCUCCGUUCAUCCUGCAAAUCUAUUCCCGGCGGACGCCGUGCGCGUUUGCGUGCGUGUGCGUCAGGAUUACGCAAAAUCUACAGAACAGAUUUCUACAAAACCUGAUUGGAUUUACGGAGACUUGGGCCUUGGGGGAGGCCAGGUCUCAGUCCUGAAACUGCCUAAAAACCCACUACACAUCAUCAGCGCCAUCAUGCUUCUCAUGCUGAUACCGCUCUGG